GAGGAUAUGGUGUAAUGGUUAGCACUCUGGACUCUGAAUCCAGCGAUCCGGGUUCAAAUCCCGGUAGGACCUCG
rnacentral:tRNA from 1 species